rnacentral:rRNA from 1 species
AAGUCCUUCGGGAUGUAAAGUUCUGUCAGGCGGGAAGAAUCUUUCCCCGAUGCAAAUCGGGGGAAAAUGACGGUACCGCCAGAGGAAGCACCGGCUAAUUCCGUGCCAGCAGCCGCGGUAACACGGAGGGUGCAAGCGUUGUUCGGAAUUACUAGGCGUAAAGAGCGUGUAGGUGGUUAGCUAAGUCGGAUGUGAAAAUCCCAAGCUUAACUUGGAACGUGCAUUCGAAACUGGUUAACUUGAGUGUAGGAGAGGAGAGCGGAAUUCCUAGUGUAGCGGUGAAAUGCGUAGAUAUUAGGAAGAACACCGGUGGCGAAGGCGGCUCUCUGGCCUAAAACUGACACUGAGACGCGAAAGCGUGGGUAGCGAACAGGAUUAGAUACCCUGGUAGUCCACGCCGUAAACGAUGGGCAUUAGGUGUAGGAGGUAUCCAAUCCUUCUGUGCCGAAGUUAACGCAUUAAAUGCCCCGCCUGGGGAGUACGACCGCAAGGUUGAAACUCAAAGGAAUUGACGGGGGCCCGCACAAGCGGUGGAGCAUGUGGUUUAAUUCGAUGCAACGCGAAGAACCUUACCUGGGCUUGACAUGUACUCGAAUGUGCCAGAAACGGUACAGUCCGAAAGGACGGGUACACAGGUGCUGCAUGGCUGUCGUCAGCUCGUGUCGUGAGAUGUUGGGUUAAGUCCCGCAACGAGCGCAACCCUCAUUCUUAGUUACCAUCGGGUAAUGCCGGGGACUCUAGGAAAAAUGCCUCGGAUAACGAGGAGGAAGGUGAGGACGACGUCAAGUCCGCAUGGCCUUUAUGCCCAGGGCUACACACGUGCUACAAUGGCCUGUACAAAGAGUGGCAAACCCAAGAGGGGGAGCUAAUCUCAAAAACCAGGCCUCAGUUCGGAUUGAAGGCUGCAACUCGCCUUCAUGAAGUUGGAAUCGCUAGUAAUCGUGAAUCAGCACGUCACGGUGAAUACGUUCCCGGGCCUUGUACACACCGCCCGUCACACCACGAAAGUCAGUUGUACUAGAAGUUGCUGAGUUAACCCCGAUCUUUGAUUGGGGAGACAGGCGCCCAAGGUAUGAUUGGCGAUUGGGGUGAAGUCGUAACAAGGUAGCCGUACCGGAAGGUGCGGCUGGAUCACCUCCUUUCUAA